GGGUACAGCUCAGUUGCAGAGUGCUUGCCUAGAAUGCAUAAGGCCCUGGGUUCAAUUCCUAGACCUG
rnacentral:tRNA from 1 species